UACGGAGGGGGCUAGCGUUGUUCGGAAUUACUGGGCGUAAAGCGCACGUAGGCGGACCCGAAAGUCAGAGGUGAAAGCCCGGGGCUCAACCCCGGAACUGCCUUUGAAACUCCUGGUCUUGAGGUCGAGAGAGGUGGGUGGAAUUCCGAGUGUAGAGGUGAAAUUCGUAGAUAUUCGGAGGAACACCAGUGGCGAAGGCGGCCCACUGGCUCGAUACUGACGCUGAGGUGCGAAAGCGUGGGGAGCAAAC
rnacentral:rRNA from 1 species